CCUACGGGAGGCAGCAGUGGGGAAUAUUGCACAAUGGGGGAAACCCUGAUGCAGCAACGCCGCGUGAGUGAAGAAGGAUUUCGGAUUGUAAAGCUCUAUCAGCAGGGAAGAAGGAAAACGGUACCUGACUAAAAAACCCCGGCUAACUACGUGCCAGCAGCCGCGGUAAAACGUGGGGGGCAAGCGUUAUCCGGAUUUACUGGGGGUAAAGGGGGCGUAGACGGCGGUGCAAGUCUGAAGUGAAAGCCCGUGGCUCAACCGCCGAACUGCAUUUGAAACUGUAUAGCUUGAGUACUGGAGAGGCAGGCGGAAUUCCUAGUGUAGCGGUGAAAUGCGUAGAUAUUAGGAGGAACACCAGUGGCGAAGGCGGCCUGCUGGACAGAAACUGACGGUGAGGCUCGAAAGCGUGGGGAGCAAACAGGAUUAGAUACCCUUGUAGUC
rnacentral:rRNA from 1 species